UACAGAGGGGGCAAGCGUUAUUCGGAAUUAUUGGGCGUAAAGGGCGCGUAGGCGGCGAUUCAAGUGACGGGUGAAAUCCCUCGGCUUAACCGAGGAACUGCCUGUCAGACUGGAUUGCUUGAGGCCGGGAGAGGCGAGUGGAAUUCCCAGUGUAGCGGUGAAAUGCGUAGAUAUCGGGAGGAACAUCAGUGGCGAAGGCGGCUGUCUGGCCCAAUACUGACACUCAGGUGCGACAGCGUGGGGAGCAAACAGG
rnacentral:rRNA from 1 species